GUCAACACCACUGGCACAUUCAAUGAUAAGAAUUAUAACAGAAAUAUUUGAUGAAAACAACACCUACUACAGUUGUGUGUGUGGUUUUAAUUGCGAAUACUUAACGCUUGAGUGAUUGUUUUAAGCCGAUACAAAAAUUGGCGUUGUAUACUUGUAUAUGUAGAUGUCAUAAUUUAAGCAAUAUGGAAAAUGCGAAAACUUUGUCAAUUAACAUGUCAUGGGAGAAAUGCGAAAUUUAUGUUAUAAACUGUUGACACACAAUAUAAAUGUGGUGCAAUAAAGUCGAAUUGGCAUAUGUUUUAAGACAUCAAUUGCAAGAACUGGAAAAAGUGCAGUGGUAUAGUGUGUUACAUAAAAGUUCGAAUAAAUAUCCCAAUUUUGGACAAUUAUCAAUACAAGAAGUACAGGACUCUCACCUUAAUCCCGCUCAGUGACUGACAUAUGUAAAAAAUAAAAUUAAGAAUAGAAACGGAAACCAUAAUAUUCACUAGGGCUAGGUUUCAGAUGACUUCAGCAACUUGCAUUCUGUUAAAAUAAAGAUUUUCACCGACUAGACGACGAUAUUCAGGAAAUAGAAGUUUCCUGGUG